AUGGCCAUCCCGGGGGACAAGCAGAAUGGGACAGCAGGGACCCCUCCCCACCUCCCCCACCCCCUCCGUGGGUCCCCAAACACAGCCACGUCCCAGCGUGUGGGCUCUCUGUGGGAUGUCCUUGUCCCACAUGAUUCAGUGCCGAAGCACAGCAGUGGUGGUGGCACCAAGGGCAGGAGACAUGGACCCUGUGUCCCCUGCACUUCUGGCUCCAGGGCUGUGGCCAGUGCCGGUGACACUGUGAGCCCCAUUCGGCCACAGCCACAUUUUGGGGAUGACUGGUCCAGCCGUAGCAACAGUUGCUACGAUUCCCUUUUCCCACUCCCUUUUCCCGACUCCAGCGACUUCCCAUGGCAGCUCCGGCGCUGCCGGGGAUGUGUUUACAGGCAAUUAAAGCUCAUUAAUUGCGCGGAAGCAACAGAGGCCCCGCAGCAACGUGUGGGGCAUUUACAAUACACCCAGCCGGUAAUCCUGACAUCAAACACGCCACGCGCACUUUCAAGCUGCACCGACGUCAGGCUGCGCGAGCGCUGGCAGGAGCUGGCAGCUCCGACGUCUCGAGAUAACGUGCAGAAGAAAGACAAGGAAAGCUGUUCUGCCAGCACGACGAGCAGACAUCGGGUGCUGUGUCCUCCUUCCACAGGGGCCACCCACAAGGUGCCCUCUCGGGGCUGUGGGGCUCCUCUGUUGGAGUGUCCUGGCUGCUGGACUGAUGGGAGACGGCAUUGCUAAACUGAGGUGGGUGUCUGUGAUGUUCAGGGCAGGUUUGGUCUCUAGCAAGAGGUUGGAGACAAAGUCAUCCAAGCUGGCAGCCCUGGGGACAGGGGCAGAGCUGGGUGACCCUGUUGGUGGCCACCCAACCGUCUUCCUCCCUCUGGAGUUUCACACACCUCUGGGGCAAUUGUAACGCCAGAAUAUGCUGGAGGCUCUAUUCCAGCCUUCACUGCGCCUAGCAUCCUCAGCACAGGAAGGACAUAGGCUGGUUGGAAUGAGUCCCGAGGAGGCCACAGAGAUGCUGUGAGGGCUGGAGCCCCUCUGUUGUGAAGACAGGCUGAGAGAGUUGGGGGGGUUCAGCCUGGACAAGAGAAGGCUCCAGGGAGACCUUAGAGCCACUUCCAGUCCCUAAAGGAUUCCAGGAAAACUGGGGAGGGACUCUUGAUGAGGGAAGGGAGACAUAGGAGGAGGAGGAAUGGCGGGAGGGGAGUCAUAGGAUGAGGGGGAAUGGCUUUAAGCUGGAAGAAGGGAGAUUGAGAUGAGAUCUGGGGAAGCAAUUCUUUGGUGUGAGGGUGGUGAGAGCCUGGCCCUGGUUGCCCAGAGAAGCUGUAGGUGCCCCAUCCCUGGAGGGGUUCAAGGCCAGGUUGAAGGGGGCUUGGAGCAACCUGGUCUGGUGGGAGGUGUCCCUGCCCAGGGCAGAGGUUGGGUCCUUAAGGUCCCUUCCAAUUCAAACCAUCCUAUGAUUCUAUGACCCUUUGGUGUCAGGGCACAGCACUGUUCCAACCCAAACCAUCCUAUGAUUCUCUGACCCUUUGGUGUCAGGGCACAGCACUUGACCUUGGCUGGGUUAUGUGGGGGAACCAUCCUCAAUGCAGGGCUCUGCCCCCUCCCCAGUGGGAGGGCAGACAGGGUGCAGCUGUGUGCUGUAAGGGGGAAGGACAGUGUCUCAUACCUGCUGUCCAGAAGCACCACCAGCCUGGAUGCCACCAGUCAUGUCACGGUGCCCCACAUGGAGCUG
rnacentral:lncRNA from 1 species